rfam:Jatropha curcas cultivar GZQX0401 scaffold392_33, whole genome shotgun sequence.
GCAAUGGUGCUAUUCAGCACCUCAAACCAAAAAAAUAAAAUAAAAU